rnacentral:tRNA from 1 species
GUGGGUGUAGCUCAAUGGCAGAGCGCCGCUCUGUGGAAGCGGAUGUUGUGGGUUCGAAACCCAUCACCCACC